GACGUAGGGCGCGAGCGUUGUCCGGAUUUAUUGGGCGUAAAGAGCUCGUAGGCGGCUUGUCGCGUCGACUGUGAAAUCCCGCGGCUCAACUGCGGGUCUGCAGUCGAUACGGGCAGGCUAGAGUUCGGUAGGGGAGACUGGAAUUCCUGGUGUAGCGGUGGAAUGCGCAGAUAUCAGGAGGAACACCGAUGGCGAAGGCAGAUCUCUGGGCCAUUACUGACGCUGAGGAGCGAAAGCAUGGGGAGCGAACAGG
rnacentral:rRNA from 1 species